AUUGAACGCUGGCGGCAUGCCUUACACAUGCAAGUCGAACGGCAGCGCGGGAGCAAUCCUGGCGGCGAGUGGCGAACGGGUGAGUAAUAUAUCGGAACGUGCCCAUUAGUGGGGGAUAGCCCGGCGAAAGCCGGAUUAAUACCGCAUACGACCUGAGGGUGAAAGCGGGGGAUCGCAAGACCUCGCGCUAUUGGAGCGGCCGAUAUCAGAUUAGCUAGUUGGUGGGGUAAAGGCCUACCAAGGCAACGAUCUGUAGUUGGUCUGAGAGGACGACCAGCCACACUGGUACUGAGACACGGCCGAGACUCUUACGGGGGGCAGCAGUGGGGAAAUUUGGACAAUGGGCGCAAGCCUGAUCCAGCAAUGCCGCGUGCAGGAAGAAGGCCUUCGGGUUGUAAACUGCUUUUGUCAGGGAAGAAAUCCUUUGGGCUAAUACCUCGGAGGGAUGACGGUACCUGAAGAAUAAGCACCGGCUAACUACGUGCCAGCCGCCGCCGUAA
rnacentral:rRNA from 1 species